rnacentral:rRNA from 1 species
AGCUCCAAUAGCAUAUACUAACGUUGUUGCAGUUAAAAAGCUCGUAGUUGGAUUUCUGGUCGAUGGCGGUCGGGUGGAGCCUCGUUGUUCCACUUGUCGUUCAUUGGUCAAAAUUUGUCACUAAUCUUCGUGUGUCCUUCAAUGGACUCCGGAGACAAAUGACUCGUUUACUUUGAGAAAAUUAGAGUGUUCAAAGCAGGCAAUCGCCUUGAAUAUGUUAGCAUGGAAUAAUAACAUAGGACUUAGGUUCUAUUUGUUGGUUGUUCGAGAACUUGAGUAAUGAUUGAUAGGGACGGUUGGGGGCAUCCGUAUUCCCAAGCGAGAGGUGAAAUUCUUGGACCUUGGGAAGACGAACAGAUGCGAAAGCGUUUGCCAAGGACGUUCUCU